UUUCUUGCCGUGAUGGCCGCCGCCGAGGCAGGGAGUUGAGGUUUUCUGCCUUUCGGAGGGUUUGGGGGGCUGUCGGUCCCGUUAGAAGGCCACCAACAGCCCCCCAGGUUGCCAAGGGCCUGUUAGUUGUGUUCCUGGAAGGUGGGCAAGCAGCCUGAUGGGUUAACAUUGGGAUUUGCCGUCGUUAUAGCGGUCAAGGGGCCUGUAGCGGCUGCAGGGUCGAUGAGGGUUCCCAGCCGGCCGGACCUUGGUCGUCUGGCAUUCUGCCUUUGAAAUAUCUGGGUGGCCGGCGCCUAGGCAUGUGGGGUUGUGCUUUCUGUGUUGUGGUUUGUAGCUUGCACUCACCACUGUUCUUAGCGCAUUUGGCUCUGUCCAUAUGGCUGUUGGUACUCAUGGCCCUAUUUGGGGUUGGACUGGGCUCUUUUUCUUGGGUCUGGUGGGAUUUAAGCAAGAACUGGAAUUUUGUAAGAUGUACAGCAGUGUCCUGGGUGUUGUCUGUCUGGUGUGGGGUGUGAGCAGUUGCAGGAGUUAUGAACGUGUCCAUGAUCGUGUGGUUGGCUUUCCCUUGCAUGUGGUGAACUUUCCCCUCGUUUGCUAAUGCUGAAAGCCAGUGUCAGGCAGUUCCUACUUGUGAAAUGCCUUCUUAUUAACUUGGAUGUGUUCCUAAAUCUUGGGAGCUUUGCAAUUGCUUGUAGAAAGAUAUGUGUGCAAAACUGAAUUUAAAACGAGCACCAGGGUUGCAGGUACCUUUAGUUCUAGGGAGCCAGCUCCCCCAGGCUUCCCUGGUGCUGUGAAGUUGUUUGAGUUUAUUUAUGGAAAUUAGGUUUGCUUUGAGCUGUGUUACCUUACUCUUGGUUCAGAGUUUCUCUGCAUGUUGGGACCCUGAUCUUUGAUAUUGGGUACUGUUUCAACACUUGAGGCUAAAUGAAGCACCAUGUACUGAUGUGUAAUUUCGUGUAUCACAAUCUCAGGAUAACAGUAGAUAGCCAAGCAUGGCAGUACCUGUUUUGUCUGUCUACACGAAUUGGACCUCAUUGUUUCUGCCACAAUGUACUGCUCCAUAAAUUCCGCCUUAUUUCCAUGGUUGUUGUCUGUAAGUUUUGAAAUCUAACUGGUCAUGAAAAGCCAUUUUUCAGGCAGUAUUUAAAAGCUUUUUCCCACAAGUAGAACUGGUAUCUAAAACAUUUUUUUCAUUCAAGUUUGGUAAGGUGGGAGAUUUGAAAUAAGGUACAACAGUGGUUUUGGAAAUCAGCUAUCAAGUUUUAGUUUUAGGGGCCACCACGUGACAGAAAUGAUUUAUAGAGAGAGUAAAAAUUGUGUUCCAUUUCUCUUGGUAUUUUAGUGCAUAUAAAAACUAAAGAAACCACUUUCAUAUAUCAUUAAAAAGCCCUUUGAUGUCUUGUGAUGAAUGAGGUUUUUAUAACUCCCCUAUUGUCUGGGUUUGCUUAGAAUAUAGUAAUGGGGCCGGGCAUGGUGGCUCACGCCUGUAAUCCCAACAGUUUGGGAGGCCAAGGCCAGGGGAUCACUUGAGGUCAGGAGUUUGAGACCAGCCUGGCCAACAUGGUGAAACCCCGUCUCUACUAAAAAUACAAAAAACUUAGCUGGGUGUGGUGGCGUACGCCUAUAAUCUCAGCUACUCAGGAGGCUGAGGUGGGAGAAUCACUUGAACCCAGGAGGUGGAGAUAUCAGUGAACGGAGAUUGUGCCACUGCACUCCAGCCUGGGCAACAGAGUGAGACCCUGUCUCAAAAAAAAAAAAAAAAAAUUAGCUGGGUGUUCUGGCAGGUGCCUGUAGUCCGGCUACUCUGGAGUCUGAGGCAGGAGAAUCGCUUGAACCUGGGAGGUGGAGGCGGCAGUGAGCCAAGAUCACUUCACUGGACUCCACCCCUCCAACCUGGGCAACAGAGUGAGACUGCAUCUCAAAAAAUAUAUGUAUAGUAAUGGUAGAGAAAGCAGCAAAGCUGGCUGGGUAUGUACAUGUGAUUCUGUUGAAACUGAUUUCAGGUAUGGAUUGAUAGGCUAAUAUUGUUGGUUUGCUAGUCAGAUCUCAGGAAAGUAUUUCCUUCCCUCUAACCUGACCUAAGUGUGUCUUAGAAUGUUAACUAACUUGACAAUUGAAUAAAAAAGAUUGAGAAAUUU
rnacentral:sRNA from 1 species